rnacentral:rRNA from 1 species
GAUGAACGCUGGCGGCGUGCCUAACACAUGCAAGUCGAACGGACAGACGAUGAGCUUGUUCCUUUGCCGUUAGCGGCGGGCGGGCGAGUAACGCGUGGAUCACCUACUUAUAUUUCGGGGAUCAUCACGUAAAGCCGGAUCCAAUACCACAUCAUAUAUUGAACCGCUGAGUUCAAUGGAUAAUGACGGCUUUCGGGUCUGUAUUAGCCGGUGCCGCACUAGCUAGUUGGUUUGGUAAAGGCCCACCAAGGCGACGAUGCGUAGCCGAUCUGAGAGGAGGAUCGGCCACACUGGAACUGAGACACGGUCCAGACUCCUACGGGAGGCAGCAGUAGGGAAUCUUCGGCAAUGGGCGAAAGCCUGACGCAGCCAGGCCGCGUGAGUGAAGAAGGUCUUCGGAUCGUAAAGCCCUGUUGUUAGGGAAGAACAGAUGUAGAAGUAAACACGGACGUCUUGACGGUACCUAAUCAAAAAGCACCGGCUAACUACGUG